rnacentral:rRNA from 1 species
AUUGAACGCUGGCGGCAUGCUUUACACAUGCAAGUCGAACGGUAACAGGCCGCAAGGUGCUGACGAGUGGCGAACGGGUGCGUAAUGCAUCGGAACGUGCCCAGUCGUGGGGGAUAACUACUCGAAAGAGUAGCUAAUACCGCAUACGAUCUAUGGAUGAAAGCGGGGGACCGUAAGGCCUCGCGCGAUUGGAGCGGCCGAUGUCAGAUUAGGUAGUUGGUGGGGUAAAGGCUCACCAAGCCAACGAUCUGUAGCUGGUCUGAGAGGACGACCAGCCACACUGGGACUGAGACACGGCCCAGACUCCUACGGGAGGCAGCAGUGGGGAAUUUUGGACAAAGGGCGCAAGCCUGAUCCAGCAAUGCCGCGUGCAGGAAGAAGGCCUUCGGGUUGUAAACUGCUUUUGUACGGAACGAAACGGCUCUGGUUAAUACCCGGGGCUAAUGACGGUACCGUAAGAAUAAGCACCGGCUAACUACGUG